GAUGUCAAGACGGAUGCCACAUGCACCCAAGGACA
rnacentral:tRNA from 1 species